GACGAACCGUACAAACGUUAUUCGGAAUUACUGGGCUUAAAGGGUGCGUAGGCGGCGCGGAAAGUUGGGUGUGAAAUCCCUCGGCUCAACCGAGGAAUGGCGCCCAAAACUCCCGUGCUUGAGGAAGAUAGAGGUGAGCGGAACUUCGGGUGGAGCGGUGAAAUGCGUUGAUAUCCGAAGGAACGCCAGUGGCGAAAGCGGCUCACUGGAUCUUUUCUGACGCUGAGGCACGAAAGCUAGGGUAGCGAACGGGAUUAGAAACCCCGGUAGU
rnacentral:rRNA from 1 species